rnacentral:rRNA from 1 species
UGAGUAACCUGCCCUUCACUCUGGGAUAACUCCGGGGAAACCGGGGCUAAUACUGGAUAUGACUCGAACAGGCAUCUGUUUCGGGUGGAAAGAUUUAUUGGUGGAGGAUGGACUCGCGGCCUAUCAGUUUGUUGGUGAGGUAAUGGCUCACCAAGGCGACGACGGGUAGCCGGCCUGAGAGGGCGAUCGGCCACACUGGGACUGAGACACGGCCCAGACUCCGUACGGGAGCA